CCUGAGGACAAGAGGAGGAUUUCUAUCAGUGUCUCUGUAUUCUAAGCCGGAGACUCUGCAUGAGCAGACCUCCUCCCUGCCUGGAAGGGACUCAGCUCCAGCAUCCUUGACUGUCUCCAUGGCUCUGCCGAUCCCUGCUGAAACAACGUGCCCAGAGGACAGCAGGAGAGAGCCUAUAAAGGUACGGGAAGGAACCUGAAGGCAAUGGCAGGCUGCUCAGCCGGGACUUAAACUUUAACUCAGUUGAGCCCACAUCUGCCAGAGCACCCCGAGACCACCCCGCCGGAGA